CCUAACCGACUUGCCAAAACUAUAGUUUGUUAACAAGACAUUUGUGGAGUGGUUGAAAAAUUUGUUUUCAUGACUCCAACCUAAGUGUAUGUAAACUUCCGACUUCAACUGUAUAUAAGGACUCCCACAUCACUGUAGUCGGCUGCUACAGACCGCCCUCGGCUUCGGGAGACACACUAAACUCUCUAUUGUCCUACAGAAGCUAAAUGACUCUGAAUUCAUUAUUUUAUGAGAUUUGAACUGAGACAUGCUUACGUCUGUAUCGGACUCUUUUAAAGUACUGUGACUCUCGCACAAUUAAUGAAUGCUCCUACAAGACCGAAUCCCAGAGCACCUAAAAAAUCAACACUAUUGGCCAUUCUAACGAAUACCCCUCACAAAUACACAUUGACUGGGAUAUUCUGUAAUGAUGUGAGUGAUCGCUAUGCAAAAGCUUGUGUUAGAAAUACAUAAACUACCAAAGCCAAACCCUGUUAUAUUUUUUAAAUACAUUUUAGACAGUUUGAUGAGCAAGCGUUCUUACUCUAUCAAUACUAUGGUGCAGAUCAUGGAAGUCUGACUCCCGAUGUUGACACUGCCUGGGACUAUUUUUGUGACAUUUUUGUCCGUUUGUGAUAAGCAGGUGAAUACAUUUUAUUUCACCCCAGGUCUGAAGAUCAAAGCCCAUCCACGUCCCCUUUUCUGCAGGGAGAGAGUGACCCAAGCCGCACUGAGGUCCCAGUAUUUGAGAUCCCGUACAUCAACAGGCUCCUUAGCAACAGAAAGAUGUGUAUUACUGUCAGUCUGUCAACAUGUCUGUUUAUUUAUGUAUUUAUGGAGGCAUGGACCAUAGACAUAACUACAAAUUGCACUCAAAUAUAGUGAGUAACUGUCAUGUUGCCGGGUGAGACGCACACAGGCAGAUGAAGAACAAGAUCACUUGGAACUUCCAACCUCCAAUAGAGGCGCCAAUCAAGCCUGGUUAUAUAAUGUCCUAGAGAUCUCGAUCAUUGGAUGUACAGUGGAAAAAAUCUACACCAGAGAUGCCAAGCAUAGAGUCCUUUCUGGGCAACUUUGCCCUUUCAAAGGUGAAACUGCUAUAAAGUCACUUUAGUGCUUACUUAUAGUUAAGUUGGAGUAUCUAUUUUGCCUCACUGUCCCUUCUCUCCCUGACUGUAGACGGGUGGUGGUGGAGCCCGUGGGGAGCAGAGCAUGGGGCAGGAAAGCCCCCCUCUCAAUCCUGGAGCCGGACGGUUCCACCCAGGCAUCCAACCUGGGUACCCUGCGGGUGAGGGGAUUACCCCGAGCCAUUCGGUCCCGAGAUGCCGGACCUAAGCUCUGUCACACAGGACCUCUUUAAGCUCAUUUCCCAGAGCAAGAAAUUCCCCACAGCAGUAGUUCAGCCACACAACAUACCUUCAAUCCUCCACACAGCAACAGGGAAGAACAGGGCCCAAAUCUUCCCUCCAGGGCGGUGUCUGGCUAUGGUGUCAGUCUUCUCUUAGGGCUGUGUCAGGCCAUGGUGUCAGAAAGUCUUCCCUCCUGGACGGUGUCUGGCCAUGCUGUCAGAAAGUAAUCCAAGCUACGUGAGACAGAUUCCUCUGUCCAGCCUCAACCAGGCCAGAAGAUCAAGUGCCACAGAAAUGUAUUUUGGGACUCUGUUGCCUCAGGUGGUCAUGCAGGGUUUCUGAUGGAGGAGCUGAAGAGGAUCACGGGGGUGGGCAUCAAAGCCCCCAUGUACUUCAUGUGUCUGACUGAGCUGAAGAGGUUGUAGCAUGUGCAGGGAGUAGGUACCAGCGCCAUGUAUAAAAUCCUGUCACAGACGCAUACCUGAUCGGAAUUAAAAUGACAUUCCCUACCUUCUUAAA